AUGAUUCUGCCACCGGGUAGAGAAUGGAAGCAUUCGCAGCGCAUCGUUAGGUCUUUGAAGAUGCGUGAGCGGGUGCUUAUUUUUUG
rnacentral:ncRNA from 1 species